rnacentral:tRNA from 1 species
GGCUCCGUGGCCUAAUGGAUAAGGCAUCUGACUUCGGAUCAUAAGAUUGCGGGUUCUAGUCCCGUCGGGGUCG